GAUGGCUUACUUGGUUAGAGUGUGGACCUGACAAAGCCAAGAUUGUAGGUUCGAUCCCUGUAAAGAACA